AGGACGAACGCUGGCGGCGUGCUUAACACAUGCAAGUCGAACGAGGCGCUUGCGCCUAGUGGCGAACGGGUGAGUAACACGUGAGCAACCUGCCCUUGGCUCUGGGAUAGCCUCCGGAAACGGGGAUUAAUACCGGACAUGACCUUCUCCUGCAUGGGGGAGGGUGGAAAGUUUUUUCGGCCAGGGAGGGGCUCGCGGCCUAUCAGCUUGUUGGGGGGUAACGGCCACCAAGGCGACGACGGGUAGCC
rnacentral:rRNA from 1 species